GGAUAGCUCAGUCAGCAGAGCAGAGGACUGUAGAGUUGCAGCUAUCCUUCGGUCGCUGGUUCCAUUCCGGCUCGACG